UGCUUGCUUUUUUUUGUUUAUUUUGCUUUGCUUUUUUGAUUUUUUUAUGGAUUGCAAUUUGUGUUUAGCUGUCCUGGUCACAUAGCAGAUUUGUACAUGUCAGGAAAUUAGAAAACCACUUUCAGAAGAAUAACAAUGUUCACUUAGGCCUUAUCUUCUAAAAUUGUUUAUAGAGGUGCAUAAAUUUAUGUAUAAGAACACUUGUCUCAUUGGUGAUGUAUUGCAAUUUGGGUUUAGUAUGGCCUUAACUGUCAAGUGGUAAUGUAUUUUAAUGUAAACAGUUUUGUUUUAACUAGUGGCUUAAAGAGAUACUGGUGAACCACCAGCAUUUCUCUGUGAAAUUUCUUGAGAUUCUGUGCAUUUGCAGUUUUAUUUUUUUUAGUUUAACAUUGGUUAAUUUUUACCUCCGCAUUCAUUUCUUUAUUUUUAUAGCAACUUUUAAACAUAAUCAUUCACAUAUUUUUAAAUGCAUUCUACAUAAUAAAUUUAUCUAAUUUCAUUUAUUAAGUUAAGUAAGACUAUGAAAUCUCUUAAGUACAAGUUUUUUCUCCCAUUCAUAAUUUCCUGUUAGUAUUCUGGAUUCUUUCUUUUUUGCAACAUCUUCCUGUACAGCAAUGUCUGGGAACAGGUGUUCAGUUUAUGACUAAAUGAACCUUCACUAAGACCACAUAGGAGUUUUAGACAUUAUACUGGUUUAAAACUUGAUCAUCUGUGCAGCUUCACUGUUUUGCUUGUACUUCCAUUAACUACAAAUCAUAGCAAAAUGUUUUUAUCUCUUGUGAAUGUUGACGUUUUCAGACUCAGGGCAAUGCCUAAGUUGCCUGUGAAGUUGCACAGUUCAUCAACUUUUUCUUUCUCCGACCUCUGGCACUUUUUGCUGUAAUACUGAUUCCCAGUUGCUUCUGCCUCUGAUCAGCUAUUUACCAGUCGGCAAGUGUGCUUCCAGUUGGAACAAGAGAUGGAACAGAAGAGCAGUGUCUGAGGUAGACUGUGCUGUUCCAAGAAUCUUGGACAACUUGCAUCUGUAGCACAUUUAUUUCUGCAGAUACUGGCCUCUACUAGAAGCAAUGCAGUCAGCCCAAAUAAAAAGAUGAACUGAACUAUGGAAAAAUUCCACACCACAACCUUAGUCCAGCCACCUAGGUAUACAAAUCUGAAUAAGAAGUGUGACUCCAGCUGCCCUGAGCUUUGCUGCUUUGAUUUCUUCAUCACUGAAUCUGACCCUGAGCCUGAAUUACUUCAACAAGAGUCCCAAAGGGAACAUUCAUACGGGAUUGAUCUUGUCAUUUCAGUCUUCUUGCUCUUUAUUGAAAGAAAGGAUAAAAAGCCCCUUGCAUCCACACUCUUGCAAGAGAACAUCUUUCUGAAAAGGACCACAGAACACUGGCAACUGCUGAGAGAAAGCAUUAGUAGAAAGAAACAGAGUGAUUGUAAGAGAGAUAAAGAUUUUGUGCAAGAGAACUGCUGAGAUUUUAUAAUGCCAACUACAGAAGAAAAGAAAUUGAGAAAAUACAGGGCACCAUCCAGCAAGUAGUCACUUGAGGCCAAUAAAUUAUGGCUACAACUAUGGAACAGAGAAAAUAAUCUACUUACUAACGUACACAGGAUGAACUACGGAAAGUUCAUGCAAGGAAAAAAAAGUAAAAAACAAACAUGAAGAGCUAUACUUGCUUGUUUUUUGGUGAGAAAAAGGACAAAUGGAGAGGUGGUCUGUAAAAACAUAAUAAAUAGCAACUGCAGUUUCCCCAGUGUUUUUUUAUUUUGUCUGGAAUUACUUACAUGAGAUGAUCAUCAACGUUAUUUGUUGAGGAAGCAUCUUCCAGUGUCCUGGUGGAUGAAAAGAUGAACAUGAGCCAGCAUUAUGAUCUUGCCGCCCUGAAGGUCGACUGUAUCUUUGUCUGCAUCAGAAGAGGGGUGGCCAGCAGGGAAACAAAGGUGAUUGUCCUCUUCUACUCUGCCUUUGUGAUACCCCCAUGUGGAUUACUUCAUUGCUGCCUUUGAGUAUUUGAAGAGAACUUACAAAGAGGAGAGAGACUGACUUCUUACGUGGUCUGAUAAUGUUGGGGGAGCUUAUCAAUGUUUAUAAAUGUAUAAAGGGUGGGUGUCAAAUAGAUGGAGUCAGGCUUUUUCCAGUGGUUCCCAGCAACAAGACAAGGGGCAAUAGGCACAAGCUAGAACAUAGGAAGUUCCAUACAAAUGUGUGGAAAAGCUUCAUUACAUUGUGGGUGUCAGAGCACUGAAACGUUGCCCACAGAGGCUGUGAAGUCUCCUUCUCCAAAGUUAUUCAUCUGGACACUUUCCUGUGCAACCUGAUGUAGGGAACUGCUUAAGGUGGGGGCUGGAAUGGAUGAAUUCCAACAGGUCCCUUGAGCCCCUACAAUUCUGUGAUUCUGCAAUUCUGUGACUUUCAACCUUUCAUCCAUUCAACACAUUGGAUCCUGAAGGUUUUGUUUAUAAUUAUUUUUUUUUCAUUAGAAGACUUGUAAGUAUUUUGAAUGUUAACAAGUAUAGAUGGUCUUAUGCAUGGCAAAACUUAAUACUUUAGCCCUUAUCAUAAAAUUAGGAAAUAUUUGCUGUUCUGAUUUCUGUUUUCCUUAUGAAUCACCUUAUAUUCUCUACUUGCAAUAACUCAGUAAGUAAGACAUUUGAUUCUGCUGUUAACAAUAGGGCUUAAAGGGUGCAUCUCUGCUUUUUUAACUGGUACAAGAUACAGGGCUUGACACAACAUUCAUUAUAUAGUUUUUCUGAUUUCAGUAGAUUUUGGAGCCUGCCUUAAGUGAGCUUUACAUUUCUGAUUCACUCAGGAAAUUAGCCCCCAAACCUCAUGACAAGACAUGACCUCAUCCUUAUAAAGAAGAUUGGACGAUUUGUUCCAGUAAUGGGUAUAAUGGCAAAAAGCCAAGGAGGAUGGGGAUGUGUGUAAAAAUCUUGUCUGUUAUUUCUGUCAACCCAGGAAUAAUGUAAGCUUUGUACAACAUACAAGGCAUCACUAAGAACCUUUGCGUAAGUUGUUAAAGAUGAACUCUGCCCCCUGCAAUACUCAGACAAUUCUUACUGAGAUCAGUAAGUCUGGUCCAUGUGUGUCUGAAUUUAAAAUUUCUUCUAGACAAUAUUGUUUUGUAAUGAUUUCUUUCCAGUGAAUGCUCUCUCAAAUUAUUUCCCUUUCAGCUGAUUGAAUGAGAUGAUUUUUCCUUAGUUCUUCCUUAUUGUUACUUCAGUUUCUCAAGUGAAGUUUCAGAUAGUGAGCUCUUUCAGACCCUUCCACUUUGGGUCAAGUGCUGUCUUUUACUAUUCAUUUCGUGCUCAGAGGUGUAUUCUUAGACCCACAGUGUUAAGUAUUCUUAAUGUUAAAAAAAAGGCAAAUCGUUAUAACAUGAGGGUUUUGUCAAUAAAAUACAUCUGUGGGUAAGAACCGGGUACCUUCUGAUUCAUUUAGAAGCCUUCACUCUACUUUGUUAUACUCAGCCUAAAGUCACAGACUUCCCAUUUACAGAUACUGAUCACCAACAUAAAAAUCCAUGGG
ensembl:lncRNA